rnacentral:rRNA from 1 species
UACGUAGGGUGCGAGCGUUAAUCGGAAUUACUGGGCGUAAAGCGUGCGCAGGCGGCUUACUAAGACAGGUGUGAAAGCCCCGAGCUUAACUUGGGAAUGGCGCUUGUGACUGGUAGGCUGGAGUGUGGCAGAGGGAGGUGGAAUUCCACGUGUAGCAGUGAAAUGCGUAGAGAUGUGGAGGAACACCGAUGGCGAAGGCAGCCUCCUGGGCCAGCACUGACGCUCAAGCACGAAAGCGUGGGGAGCAAACAGG